GUAGGUGGCAAGCGUUGUCCGGAAUUAUUGGGCGUAAAGCGCGCGCAGGCGGUCCUUUAAGUCUGAUGUGAAAGCCCACGGCUCAACCGUGGAGGGUCAUUGGAAACUGGGGGACUUGAGUACAGAAGAGGAAAGCGGAAUUCCAAGUGUAGCGGUGAAAUGCGUAGAGAUUUGGAGGAACACCAGUGGCGAAGGCGGCUUUCUGGUCUGUAACUGACGCUGAGGCGCGAAAGCGUGGGGAGCAAACAGGAUUAGAUACCCUGGUAGUCCACGCCGUAAACGAUGAGUGCUAAGUGUUAGGGGGUUUCCCGCCCCCCUUAGUGCUGCAGCUAACGCAUUAAGCACUCCGCCUGGGGAGUACGGCCGCAAGGCUG
rnacentral:rRNA from 1 species